GGGGCUGAAGGUCGGUUCAUGUGAGGAAAGGCAGUCCUUGAGGUAUUGUGGUCCUGAGCCAUUUAAGGCUUAAUAGGUCAAAGCCAGCACUUUGAAUUGGACCCGGAAACUAACCGUCAGCCCCUGCAGUCAGGCCAAGAUUGGCAUCAUAUGCUCAAACCAUAUUGCCCCAGUGAGCAACACUUCCAGUUCUUGGAAGUGGUGUUUAACCAAACUUCUAGGGCAGGCACAUCCAACUCCCAAGGGACUGCGAUCUACUCCCAUUA